GGGUUGUGAGGUUAAGCGACUAAGCGUACACGGUGGAUGCCCUGGCAGUCAGAGGCGAUGAAGGACGUGCUAAUCUGCGAAAAGCGUCGGUAAGGUGAUAUGAACCGUUACAGCCGGCGAUGUCCGAAUGGGGAAACCCAGUGUGAUUCGUCACACUAUCGUUAACUGAAUACAUAGGUUAACGAGGCGAACCGGGGGGAACUGAAACAUCUAAGUACCCCGAGGAAAAGAAAUCAACCGAGAUUCCCCCAGUAGCGGCGAGCGAACGGGGAGCAGCCCAGAGUCUGAAUCAGCUUGUGUGUUAGUGGAACGGUCUGGAAAGUCCGACGGUACAGGGUGAUAGUCCCGUACACCAAAAUGCACAGGCUGUGAACUCGAAGAGUAGGGCGGGACACGUGGUAUCCUGUCUGAAUAUGGGGGGACCAUCCUCCAAGGCUAAAUACUCCUGACUGACCGAUAGUGAACCAGUACCGUGAGGGAAAGGCGAAAAGAACCCCGGCGAGGGGAGUGAAAAAGAACCUGAAACCGUGUACGUACAAGCAGUGGGAGCACCUUCGGGUGUGACUGCGUACCUUUUGUAUAAUGGGUCAGCGACUUAUAUUCUGUAGCAAGGUUAACCGUAUAGGGGAGCCGCAGGGAAACCGAGUCUUAACUGGGCGUUAAGUUGCAGGGUAUAGACCCGAAACCCGGUGAUCUAGCCAUGGGCAGGUUGAAGGUUGGGUAACACUAACUGGAGGACCGAACCGACUAAUGUUGAAAAAUUAGCGGAUGACUUGUGGCUGGGGGUGAAAGGCCAAUCAAACCGGGAGAUAGCUGGUUCUCCCCGAAAGCUAUUUAGGUAGCGCCUCGUGAAUUCAUCUUCGGGGGUAGAGCACUGUUUCGGCUAGGGGGUCAUCCCGACUUACCAACCCGAUGCAAACUACGAAUACCGAAGAAUGUUAUCACGGGAGACACACGGCGGGUGCUAACGUCCGUCGUGAAGAGGGGAAACAACCCAGACCGCCAGCUAAGGUCCCAAAGUCAUGGUUAAGUGGGAAACGAUGUGGGAAGGCACAGACAGCCAGGAUGUUGGCUUAGAAGCAGCCAUCAUUUAAAGAAAGCGUAAUAGCUCACUGGUCGAGUCGGCCUGCGCGGAAGAUGUAACGGGGCUAAACCAUGCACCGAAGCUGCGGCAGCGACACUAUGUGUUGUUGGGUAGGGGAGCGUUCUGUAAGCCUGCGAAGGUGACCUGUGAGGGUUGCUGGAGGUAUCAGAAGUGCGAAUGCUGACAUAAGUAACGAUAAAGCGGGUGAAAAGCCCGCUCGCCGGAAGACCAAGGGUUCCUGUCCAACGUUAAUCGGGGCAGGGUGAGUCGACCCCUAAGGCGAGGCCGAAAGGCGUAGUCGAUGGGAAACAGGUUAAUAUUCCUGUACUUGGUGUUACUGCGAAGGGGGGACGGAGAAGGCUAUGUUAGCCGGGCGACGGUUGUCCCGGUUUAAGCAUGUAGGCUGGUUGUCCAGGCAAAUCCGGAUAAUCAAGGCUGAGGUGUGAUGACGAGGCACUACGGUGCUGAAGUAACAAAUGCCCUGCUUCCAGGAAAAGCCUCUAAGCAUCAGGUAACAUCAAAUCGUACCCCAAACCGACACAGGUGGUCAGGUAGAGAAUACCAAGGCGCUUGAGAGAACUCGGGUGAAGGAACUAGGCAAAAUGGUGCCGUAACUUCGGGAGAAGGCACGCUGGUGUGUAGGUGAAGUCCCUGCGGAUGGAGCUGAGACCAGUCGAAGAUACCAGCUGGCUGCAACUGUUUAUUAAAAACACAGCACUGUGCAAACACGAAAGUGGACGUAUACGGUGUGACGCCUGCCCGGUGCCGGAAGGUUAAUUGAUGGGGUUAUCCGUAAGGAGAAGCUCUUGAUCGAAGCCCCGGUAAACGGCGGCCGUAACUAUAACGGUCCUAAGGUAGCGAAAUUCCUUGUCGGGUAAGUUCCGACCUGCACGAAUGGCGUAAUGAUGGCCAGGCUGUCUCCACCCGAGACUCAGUGAAAUUGAACUCGCUGUGAAGAUGCAGUGUACCCGCGGCAAGACGGAAAGACCCCGUGAACCUUUACUAUAGCUUGACACUGAACAUUGAGCCUUGAUGUGUAGGAUAGGUGGGAGGCUUUGAAGCGUGGACGCCAGUCUGCGUGGAGCCAACCUUGAAAUACCACCCUUUAAUGUUUGAUGUUCUAACGUUGGCCCUUACCGGGGUUGCGGACAGUGUCUGGUGGGUAGUUUGACUGGGGCGGUCUCCUCCCAAAGCGUAACGGAGGAGCACGAAGGUUAGCUAAUCCUGGUCGGACAUCAGGAGGUUAGUGCAAUGGCAUAAGCUAGCUUGACUGCGAGCGUGACGGCGCGAGCAGGUGCGAAAGCAGGUCAUAGUGAUCCGGUGGUUCUGAAUGGAAGGGCCAUCGCUCAACGGAUAAAAGGUACUCCGGGGAUAACAGGCUGAUACCGCCCAAGAGUUCAUAUCGACGGCGGUGUUUGGCACCUCGAUGUCGGCUCAUCACAUCCUGGGGCUGAAGUAGGUCCCAAGGGUAUGGCUGUUCGCCAUUUAAAGUGGUACGCGAGCUGGGUUUAGAACGUCGUGAGACAGUUCGGUCCCUAUCUGCCGUGGGCGCUGGAGAAUUGAGGGGGGCUGCUCCUAGUACGAGAGGACCGGAGUGGACGCAUCACUGGUGUUCGGGUUGUCAUGCCAAUGGCACUGCCCGGUAGCUAAAUGCGGAAGAGAUAAGUGCUGAAAGCAUCUAAGCACGAAACUUGCCCCGAGAUGAGUUCUCCCUGAGACUUUAAGUCUCCUGAAGGAACGUUAAAGACGAUGACGUUGAUAGGCCGGGUGUGUAAGCGCAGCGAUGCGUUGAGCUAACCGGUACUAAUGAACCGUGAGGCUUAACCUUACAACGCCGAAG
rnacentral:rRNA from 1 species